rnacentral:rRNA from 1 species
UAAAGCACCUUACCACCCAGUGUAUACUCAAUCUCUUCAGAUUUUGGAAGCUAGGCGUGUUGGGCUUGGCUAGUACAUGGAAGGGAGACCACCAGAGAUCAUAAGGUAUGGCUAGGA